rnacentral:rRNA from 1 species
ACGAACGCUGGCGGCGUGCUUAACACAUGCAAGUGGAAGGGAAAGGCCCGCCUUUGGGGGGGGGCCGGGGGGGGAACGGGGGAGUAAAACGGGGGUAAACCGGCCCUUGCCUUGGGGUAAAUUCCGGGAAAUGGGGGUAAAAACCGGUAGGGGCCCCUGCUGCAUGGGGGGGGGUGGGAAGGUUCGGCGGUUGGGGAUGGACUCGCGGCUUAUCAGCUUGUUGGUGGGGUAGUGGCUUACCAAGGCUUUGACGGGUAGCCGGCCUGAGAGGGUGACCGGCCACAUUGGGACUGAGAUACGGCCCAGACUCCUACGGGAGGCAGCAGUGGGGAAUAUUGCACAAUGGGCGGAAGCCUGAUGCAGCAACGCCGCGUGCGGGAUGACGGCCUUCGGGUUGUAAACCGCUUUCGCCUGUGACGAAGCGUGAGUGACGGUAAUGGGUAAAGAAGCACCGGCUAACUACGUG